rnacentral:rRNA from 1 species
UACAGAGGUCCCAAGCGUUGUUCGGAUUCACUGGGCGUAAAGGGUGCGCAGGUGGGUUUGCAAGUUCGAUGUGAAAGCCCGGGGCUUAACCCCGGGUCUGCAUUCGAUACGGGCUAGCUAGAGUGUGGUAGGGGAGAUCGGAAUUCCUGGUGUAGCGGUGAAAUGCGCAGAUAUCAGGAGGAACACCGGUGGCGAAGGCGGAUCUCUGGGCCAUUACUGACGCUGAGGAGCGAAAGCGUGGGGAGCGAACAGG